CUUAUAUUUUUGUUCAGUAUAAAUUUUCAACAACCCACUUUGGGGUAAUUGACUAAAAAUCUACAAAGAACAAAGACAGGGAGGUCAUAGUUUUUUUAAUAACGAUUUCAAUAAUGAUUCAAAGGUACUUCGUAGUACAAUUACACAAUGAUUAUCAAUGGCAACAAAAAAACAAACGUAAAAAAGAAAACCCUUUUUUGUUUGCAAGUUUUCUCCCCACACAUCACAUCCCAUCUCCUGUCAGACUCCAUAGCACUGAUAAAUGGUCGUCACACUGUCAAAAAUACCUGCGUUCAAGCCCAGUAAAAAAAAAAAAAAAACACAACCAUGUGUCAUCAUGAUUCAGAGCCGUAAGUUAAGAGUUAAAGAACACUCUGUGACUUUUUUUUCCCUUUUUAAGUGGUCUCUUCUAGCUCUUUCUUGGUGCCCAGCAGGUGGGCGUUUGACUGCAGUGAGUCAAAGUAUGGUGGCUUUUAAAAAAUCCACCUGUUAAUGCCAAAGUACUGUGGCAGCACAGCGUUUGUGCCAAGAAGAGACAGGCUCAACAAAAGACUGAAUUCACAUGUUCCCUUACCCAACACAUUUUUAAAAAUCACAGAGUUACUUUUCUGGUCUGAGGAUGUGCAGGAUGCUACAGCUGCCUCCUGCUUAUCGGACCGCUAGUGCUUCACUGUUCUUCCUUUUGCACAGGCUUCUGGAGGCUUGUGAUUCUCCUGUGACCCCAGCAGAUUCCCGCCUUUCAAUUGUUAAUACGACAUAAAAAGUAAGGAAGGGAUGCAAGGACAGAGGAAGCAGAGCAAAAUGCCAAAUGAGAGGCCCGGGACAACAAAGACGUGCACUCUGAAAACACUGUUCACCUACAAUGUGAACAUAUUUAUGAGUAUUGUGCAAGAUUUGAUAUUUGGGUUUUUUUUUUCAAGAGAACUAAGUAGACUUGUUGACAAAUACUUUAACAAUUUAUUAAAUGUGCUUUUAUUUCCCCAAAAUGACAUAUAUAUGUG
ensembl:lncRNA